rnacentral:rRNA from 1 species
UACCAGCACCCCGAGUGGUCGGGACGAUUAUUGGGCCUAAAGCAUCCGUAGCCGGUUUUACAAGUCCCCCGUUAAAUCCAGCUGCUUAACAGAUGGGCUGCGGAGGAUACUAUAAGACUAGGAGGCAGGAGAGGCAAGCGGUACUCAGUGGGUAGGGGUAAAAUCCGUUGAUCCAUUGAAGACCACCAGUGGCGAAGGCGGCUGCCAGAAUGCGCUCGACGGUGAGGGAUGAAAGCUGGGGGAGCAAACCGG